rnacentral:rRNA from 15 species
GAGGGCGAAAGCCGUAGUCGAUGGGAAGCAGGUUAAUAUUCCUGCACUUUUGAUAACUGCGAUGGGGUGACGAAGAAGGUUAGGUAGGCCUGGCGUUGGUUGUCCAGGUUCAAGCGUGUAGGCUGAUCCCUUAGGCAAAUCCGGGGGAUCAAGGCCGAGACGUGACGUCGAGCUCUCUUUUGAGCGAAGCUAUUGAUACCACGCUUCCAGGAAAAGCCUCUAAGCUUCAGGUUAUCGAAAACCGUACCCCAAACCGACACAGGUGGGUGGGAUGAGAAUUCUAAGGCGUUUGAGACAACUCGGGUGAAGGAACUCGGCAAAAUGGUACCGUAACUUCGGGAGAAGGUACGCCCCUGGUAUGUGAAGCGACUUGCUCGUGGAGCAGAAGGGGGUUGCAGUGACCAGAUGGCUGCGACUGUUUAGCAAAAACACAGCACUCUGCUAACACGAAAGUGGACGUAUAGGGUGUGACGCCUGCCCGGUGCCGGAAGGUUAAUUGAUGGGGUUAGCUUCGGCGAAGCUCUUGAUCGAAGCC